rnacentral:rRNA from 1 species
AGCGUACACGGUGGAUGCCCUGGCAGUCAGAGGCGAUGAAGGACGUGCUAAUCUGCGAAAAGCGUCGGUAAGGUGAUAUGAACCGUUACAGCCGGCGAUGUCCGAAUGGGGAAACCCAGUGCAAUUCGUUGCACUAUCGUUAACUGAAUACAUAGGUUAACGAGGCGAACCGGGGGAACUGAAACAUCUAAGUACCCCGAGGAAAAGAAAUCAACCGAGAUUCCCCCAGUAGCGGCGAGCGAACGGGGAGCAGCCCAGAGUCUGAAUCAGCUUGUGUGUUAGUGGAACGGUCUGGAAAGUCCGACGGUACAGGGUGAUAGUCCCGUACACCAAAAUGCACAGGCUGUGAACUCGAAGAGUAGGGCGGGACACGUGGUAUCCUGUCUGAAUAUGGGGGGACCAUCCUCCAAGGCUAAAUACUCCUGACUGACCGAUAGUGAACCAGUACCGUGAGGGAAAGGCGAAAAGAACCCCGGCGAGGGGAGUGAAAAAGAACCUGAAACCGUGUACGUACAAGCAGUGGGAGCACCUUUAUGGUGUGACUGCGUACCUUUUGUAUAAUGGGUCAGCGACUUAUAUUCUGUAGCAAGGUUAACCGUAUAGGGGAGCCGCAGGGAAACCGAGUCUUAACUGGGCGUUAAGUUGCAGGGUAUAGACCCGAAACCCGGUGAUCUAGCCAUGGGCAGGUUGAAGGUUGGGUAACACUAACUGGAGGACCGAACCGACUAAUGUUGAAAAAUUAGCGGAUGACUUGUGGCUGGGGGUGAAAGGCCAAUCAAACCGGGAGAUAGCUGGUUCUCCCCGAAAGCUAUUUAGGUAGCGCCUCGUGAAUUCAUCUUCGGGGGUAGAGCACUGUUUCGGCUAGGGGGUCAUCCCGACUUACCAACCCGAUGCAAACUACGAAUACCGAAGAAUGUUAUCACGGGAGACACACGGCGGGUGCUAACGUCCGUCGUGAAGAGGGAAACAACCCAGACCGCCAGCUAAGGUCCCAAAGUCACAGUUAAGUGGGAAACGAUGUGGGAAGGCACAGACAGCCAGGAUGUUGGCUUAGAAGCAGCCAUCAUUUAAAGAAAGCGUAAUAGCUCACUGGUCGAGUCGGCCUGCGCGGAAGAUGUAACGGGGCUAAACUGUGCACCGAAGCUGCGGCAGCGACACUUAGGUGUUGUUGGGUAGGGGAGCGUUCUGUAAGCCUGCGAAGGUGGCCUGUGAGGGUUGCUGGAGGUAUCAGAAGUGCGAAUGCUGACAUAAGUAACGAUAAUGCGGGUGAAAAGCCCGCACGCCGGAAGACCAAGGGUUCCUGUCCAACGUUAAUCGGGGCAGGGUGAGUCGACCCCUAAGGCGAGGCCGAAAGGCGUAGUCGAUGGGAAACAGGUUAAUAUUCCUGUACUUGGUGUUACUGCGAAGGGGGGACGGAGAAGGCUAUGUUAGCCGGGCGACGGUUGUCCCGGUUUAAGCAUGUAGGCGGAGGUUCCAGGUAAAUCCGGUACCUUUUAACGCUGAGGUGUGAUGACGAGGCACUACGGUGCUGAAGUAACAAAUGCCCUGCUUCCAGGAAAAGCCUCUAAGCAUCAGGUAACAUUGAAUCGUACCCCAAACCGACACAGGUGGUCAGGUAGAGAAUACCAAGGCGCUUGAGAGAACUCGGGUGAAGGAACUAGGCAAAAUGGUGCCGUAACUUCGGGAGAAGGCACGCUGAUAUGUAGGUGAAGUCCCUGCGGAUGGAGCUGAAAUCAGUCGAAGAUACCAGCUGGCUGCAACUGUUUAUUAAAAACACAGCACUGUGCAAACACGAAAGUGGACGUAUACGGUGUGACGCCUGCCCGGUGCCGGAAGGUUAAUUGAUGGGGUUAUCCGUAAGGAGAAGCUCUUGAUCGAAGCCCCGGUAAACGGCGGCCGUAACUAUAACGGUCCUAAGGUAGCGAAAUUCCUUGUCGGGUAAGUUCCGACCUGCACGAAUGGCGUAAUGAUGGCCAGGCUGUCUCCACCCGAGACUCAGUGAAAUUGAACUCGCUGUGAAGAUGCAGUGUACCCGCGGCAAGACGGAAAGACCCCGUGAACCUUUACUAUAGCUUGACACUGAACAUUGAGCCUUGAUGUGUAGGAUAGGUGGGAGGCUUUGAAGCGUGGACGCCAGUCUGCGUGGAGCCAACCUUGAAAUACCACCCUUUAAUGUUUGAUGUUCUAACGUUGGCCCCUGACCGGGGUUGCGGACAGUGUCUGGUGGGUAGUUUGACUGGGGCGGUCUCCUCCCAAAGAGUAACGGAGGAGCACGAAGGUUAGCUAAUCCUGGUCGGACAUCAGGAGGUUAGUGCAAUGGCAUAAGCUAGCUUGACUGCGAGCGUGACGGCGCGAGCAGGUGCGAAAGCAGGUCAUAGUGAUCCGGUGGUUCUGAAUGGAAGGGCCAUCGCUCAACGGAUAAAAGGUACUCCGGGGAUAACAGGCUGAUACCGCCCAAGAGUUCAUAUCGACGGCGGUGUUUGGCACCUCGAUGUCGGCUCAUCACAUCCUGGGGCUGAAGUAGGUCCCAAGGGUAUGGCUGUUCGCCAUUUAAAGUGGUACGCGAGCUGGGUUUAGAACGUCGUGAGACAGUUCGGUCCCUAUCUGCCGUGGGCGCUGGAGAAUUGAGGGGGGCUGCUCCUAGUACGAGAGGACCGGAGUGGACGCAUCACUGGUGUUCGGGUUGUCAUGCCAAUGGCAUUGCCCGGUAGCUAAAUGCGGAAGAGAUAAGUGCUGAAAGCAUCUAAGCACGAAACUUGCCCCGAGAUGAGUUCU